rnacentral:rRNA from 1 species
GUUGAACGCUGGCGGCAUGCCUUACACAUGCAAGUCGAACGGCAGCAUGGGUGCUUGCACCUGAUGGCGAGUGGCGAACGGGUGAGUAAUGCAUCGGAACGUACCCGGAAGUGGGGGAUAACGUAGCGAAAGUUACGCUAAUACCGCAUAUUCUGUGAGCAGGAAAGCGGGGGAUCGCAAGACCUCGCGCUUCCGGAGCGGCCGAUGUCGGAUUAGCUAGUUGGCGGGGUAAAGGCCCACCAAGGCAACGAUCCGUAGCGGGUCUGAGAGGAUGAUCCGCCACACUGGGACUGAGACACGGCCCAGACUCCUACGGGAGGCAGCAGUGGGGAAUUUUGGACAAUGGGGGCAACCCUGAUCCAGCCAUGCCGCGUGAGUGAAGAAGGCCUCGGUUGUAAG